UACGGAGGGUGCAAGCGUUAUCCGGAUUCACUGGGUUUAAAGGGUGUGUAGGCGGUGAUUUAAGUCAGUGGUGAAAUCUCCAGGCUCAACCUGGAAACUGCCAUUGAUACUAUUUAUCUUGAAUCUUGUUGAGGUGGGCGGAAUAUAUCAUGUAGCGGUGAAAUGCUUAGAUAUGAUAUAGAACACCGAUUGCGAAGGCAGCUCACUAAACAAGCAUUGACGCUGAGGCACGAAAGCGUGGGGAUCAAACAGG
rnacentral:rRNA from 1 species